CCUCGGGAGGCAGCAGUGGGGAAUCUUGCACAAUGGAGGAAACUCUGAUGCAGCGAUGCCGCGUGAGUGAAGAAGGCCCUUGGGUUGUAAAGCUCUUUCGUCGGGGAAGAAAAUGACUGUACCCGAAUAAGAAGGUCCGGCUAACUUCGUGCCAGCAGCCGCGGUAAUACGAAGGGACCUAGCGUAGUUCGGAAUUACUGGGCUUAAAGAGUUCGUAGGUGGUUGAAAUAGUUGGUGGUGAAAUCCCAGAGCUUAACUCUGGAACUGCCAUCAAAACUUUUCAGCUAGAGUUUGAUAGAGGAAAGCAGAAUUUCUAGUGUAGAGGUGAAAUUCGUAGAUAUUAGAAAGAAUACCAAUUGCGAAGGCAGCUUUCUGGAUCAUUACUGACACUGAGGAACGAAAGCAUGGGUAGCGAAGAGGAUUAGAUACCCUCGUAGUCCAUGCCGUAAACGAUGUGUGUUAGACGUUGGAAAUUUAUUUUCAGUGUCGCAGCGAAAGCGAUAAACACACCGCCUGGGGAGUACGACCGCAAGGUUAAAACUCAAAUGAAUUGACGG
rnacentral:rRNA from 1 species